rnacentral:lncRNA from 1 species
UCCAGUGGGAACCAGUCGAGCCAGCGGGUGAGGAGCGGCGUCACUGGGCAAGCAGGGGACAUGCAGGACACACCGGGCUCUGGGAGUGGCUCCCAGCCCGGCCAGCUGUGAGCAGCUCCUGCGGGAAGGCAGCAGGCACGGGGAGAUGGACUCUGGGACAGGGCAAGGGCUCAUCAGUGUGUUCGGGUUCAUCUUGGGCAUCGGGCUGGCCUUGCUGAUCCUGAUCAUUUCUGGCUACGCCGUUUUCCUUUGCUACCAGCAGGGCUGGUGCUGGUGCCGUGAGUAUGGGCAGAGCAGGGGACAAGCAGCUGCAGGGCAGGGAGGGGACAAAGGAGGGGUGUGGAGAGCACGAAUGGCAUUUGCUGGUCCCCAAAAUCUGCAUGCAGGGUGGCUGGAGGGUGCAUAGGGGGAAUGCACAGAGAUGUCCUGGUGCUGCUGGUUAUCCAGGGGGUUGUCCUGUCCCUUCCCUGUGCCACCUCACAGACCUCUAUAGGCACUGCAGUGCCCUCUGAUGGCCUCUCCUUCCCUCCUGCUCCUCCCAGGCCCUGACUUCAUCUUCAACCUCUACCAUGGCCGCAGGCUGAGGUCGGUAGCAGUGGAGCUGGCACCUCCAUUCAGCAUCAGUGCCUCUGUGAGCCAGGCAGGGAACGGCUAUGUGCGCUUCCAUGAGCAGGGGCUGUGAGCAGCAGGGCAUGGUCCUGCUCCUUGUGUGUGGGGUCCCAGCCUCAUGGAGGUCCUGCAGAGCCUGGAGCAGCAUGCACGGGGCCUUCCCAUGGUGGUGAGUGUGAUGCAUCCCAAAGCUUUCUGCACCCCAGAGCCUCCUUCCCCUCCUAUAGCUCUGACUGUGGCUUUCCCUGGGAGAGUCCCAAGGAUUUUCCUCUG